rnacentral:misc_RNA from 1 species
UGGCCCUGCUUAUAGCAGUUGUUGCACAAUCUCAAGUCUCCAGGAGGCAGUGGUGGAGCAGUGCACUCUCUAGCACGAUGUCCAGCCUUGCCACAGGUGUGACAGAUGCCCUCAUUUGGACAAUGGCUGGCCAUGUGCCCAGGUUCUCGACAGUUCCAACAUAGCGAUUUAGUGGUGCAUUCCAGAGCAAUAUGCCUGCAAGAUUUUUUUUUUUUUUUUUUUCCGACUCCGCUCAGCUUCAACAGAAAUACCACAGUUUAUGUAAAUACCUAAGGCACACUUGUACUACAUAACCAAAGGCUUAAUAAAUGUAAACAAAAACUGUAAAUAAGCCUUUCAACACUGCAAAUGUAUAUCAACUUUCUAUGACUGCAAACAUAUCAUAAAUCUAUGAUAGAUAUUGGC